rnacentral:rRNA from 1 species
GAACGAACGCUGGCGGCGCGCCUCAUACAUGCAAGUCGAGCGAGAAAGCCCGCUUCGGUGGGUGAUUGAAGCGGCGAACGGGUGCGUAACACGUGGGCAACCUGCCUUUAGGUCUGGGAUAAGCCGCCGAAAGGGGGUCUAAUACCUGGAUAACACCUUUCUAUCGCAUGGUAGAAAGUUCAAAGACCGCUUGCGGUCGCCUGAAGAUGGGCCCGCGGCCUAUUAGCUAGUUGGUGAGAUAACAGCCCACCAAGGCUGCGAUGGGUAGCCGUCCUGAGAGGGUGAACGGCCACACUGGGACUGAGAUACGGCCCAGACUCCUACGGGAGGCAGCAGUAGGGAAUAUUGCGCAAUGCCCGAAAGGGUGACGCAGCGACGCCGCGUGGGUGAUGAAGCUUCUUGGAGCGUAAAGCCCUUUCAGAAGGGAAGAACCGCAUGGAGGUGAACCUCCGUGCCUGACGGUACCUUCAGAAGAAGCUCCGGCUAACUCCGUGCCAGCAGCCGCGGUAAUACGGAGGGAGCAAGCGUUGUUCGGAAUCACUGGGCGUAAAGGGCGCGUAGGCGGGCCGGUGAGUCAGGUGUGAAAACCCGGGGCUUAACCCCGGGCCUGCACUUGAUACUAUCGGUCUUGAGUACGAGAGAGGAAAGCGGAAUUCCAGGUGUAGCGGUGAAAUGCGUAGAUAUCUGGGAGAACACCGGUGGCGAAGGCGGCUUUCUGGCUCGAUACUGACGCUGAUGCGCGAAGGCUAGGGGAGCAAACAGGAUUAGAUACCCUGGUUAGUCCUAGCGGGUAAACGAUGGGGCACUAGGUGUUGGAGGACUUACCCCUUCAGUGCCGCAGCUAACGCAUUAAGUGCCCCGCCUGGGGAGUACGAUCGCAAGAUUGAAACUCAAAGGAAUUGACGGGGCCCCGCACAAGCAGUGGAGUAUGUGGUUUAAUUCGAUGCAACGCGAAGAACCUUACCUGGGCU